rnacentral:rRNA from 1 species
CACUGCCGAGAAAAGCCUCUAGAUAGAAAAUAGGUGCCCGUACCGCAAACCGACACAGGUAGUCAAGAUGAGAAUUCUAAGGUGAGCGAGCGAACUCUCGUUAAGGAACUCGGCAAAAUGACCCCGUAACUUCGGGAGAAGGGGUGCUCUUUAGGGUUAACGCCCAGAAGAGCCGCAGUGAAUAGGCCCAAGCGACUGUUUAUCAAAAACACAGGUCUCUGCUAAACCGUAAGGUGAUGUAUAGGGGCUGACGCCUGCCCGGUGCUGGAAGGUUAAGAGGAGUGGUUAGCUUCUGCGAAGCUACGAAUCGAAGCCCCAGUAAACGGCGGCCGUAACUAUAACGGUCCUAAGGUAGCGAAAUUCCUUGUCGGGUAAGUUCCGACCCGCACGAAAGGCGUAACGAUUUGGGCACUGUCUCAACGAGAGACUCGGUGAAAUCAUAGUACCUGUGAAGAUGCAGGUUACCCGCGACAGGACGGAAAGACCCCGUGGAGCUUUACUGUAGCCUGAUAUUGAAAUUCGGCACAGCUUGUACAGGAUAGGUAGGAGCCUUUGAAACGUGAGCGCUAGCUUACGUGGAGGCGCUGGUGGGAUACUACCCUAGCUGUGUUGGCUUUCUAACCCGCACCACUUAUCGUGGUGGGAGACAGUGUCAGGCGGGCAGUUUGACUGGGGCGGUCGCCUCCUAAAAGGUAACGGAGGCGCUCAAAGGUUCCCUCAGAAUGGUUGGAAAUCAUUCAUAGAGUGUAAAGGCAUAAGGGAGCUUGACUGCGAGACCUACAAGUCGAGCAGGGUCGAAAGACGGACUUAGUGAUCCGGUGGUUCCGCAUGGAAGGGCCAUCGCUCAACGGAUAAAAGCUACCCCGGGGAUAACAGGCUUAUCUCCCCCAAGAGUUCACAUCGACGGGGAGGUUUGGCACCUCGAUGUCGGCUCAUCGCAUCCUGGGGCUGUAGUCGGUCCCAAGGGU